UACGUAGGGUGCGAGCGUUAAUCGGAAUUACUGGGCGUAAAGCGUGCGCAGGCGGUGCUGUAAGACCGAUGUGAAAUCCCCGGGCUUAACCUGGGAACUGCAUUGGUGACUGCAGCGCUGGAGUAUGGCAGAGGGGGUGGAAUUCCACGUCGUAGCAGUGAAAUGCGUAGAGAUGUGGAGGAACACCGAUGGCGAAGGCAGCCCCCUGGGCCAAUACUGACGCUCAUGCAC
rnacentral:rRNA from 1 species